AGUUGAGAAUCAAGAACUAUGAGUAUGUAAUAGUAAGUAUUCUAGUCUGUAACAAUGAGUUUUGAACUAAUAAGCAUUUGCUCUGAGGAGCUGACACAUUAUAUUAAAAACCAUGAAACAGGAAAUAUGGCAGCUAAAAAUUCAGUCCUAUCUACAAUCCUGAUGAGCUAGACCAUUCCUUGAAGUCGAGAGACAUUCUGAUUCUGAAACGCUAACUCAGUCUGGCUUUAAUUAUCUUCAGUUACUUUAAGCUGUUCCAUUUUGGCCAUGAAGAUGCACUUCCUUCUUUCCGCUCUUCUCUUCUUUGUUUUGUUCUCUUCCUCAGUUUCUCUAAAACUCAUGUCCUAUGUGGUUUGUGAAACUUUCUCUAAAAACUGUACUGCUUUUAAUGAAACAACAUGUAUUAAUGGUGAAAAGAUCUGCGUUUUGCAUCUUAAAAACUGCUGUAAGACCGAAGUAUAAAAGGUCAACUCUUGGGAAAAGAAGAACUGCAGAGGUGAUGUAGAAGAAGUCAUCAACCCUUUUGUCUUAUUCCUAGUAAAAGCACUGUUUUCCUCCUCUAA